GCGGGGGAGAUUGCUUCGGUAAUUGACCUAGCGGCGGACGGGUGAGUAAUACUUAGGAAUCUGCCUAUUAAUGGGGGACAACAUCUCGAAAGGGAUGCUAAUACCGCAUACGCCCUACGGGGGAAAGCAGGGGAUCACUUGUGACCUUGCGUUAAUAGAUGAGCCUAAGUCGGAUUAGCUAGUUGGUGGGGUAAAGGCCUACCAAGGCGACGAUCUGUAGCGGGUCUGAGAGGAUGAUCCGCCACACUGGGACUGAGACACGGCCCAGACUCCUACGGGAGGCAGCAGUGGGGAAUAUUGGACAAUGGGGGGAACCCUGAUCCAGCCAUGCCGCGUGUGUGAAGAAGGCCUUAUGGUUGUAAAGCACUUUAAGCGAGGAGGAGGCUCUUUUGGUUAAUACCCAAGAUGAGUGGACGUUACUCGCAGAAUAAGCACCGGCUAACUCUGUGCCAGCAGCCGCGGUAAUACAGAGGGUGCGAGCGUUAAUCGGAUUUACUGGGCGUAAAGCGUGCGUAGGCGGCUUUUUAAGUCGGAUGUGAAAUCCCCGAGCUUAACUUGGGAAUUGCAUUCGAUACUGGGAAGCUAGAGUAUGGGAGAGGAUGGUAGAAUUCCAGGUGUAGCGGUGAAAUGCGUAGAGAUCUGGAGGAAUACCGAUGGCGAAGGCAGCCAUCUGGCCUAAUACUGACGCUGAGGUACGAAAGCAUGGGGAGCAAACAGGAUUAGAUACCCUGGUAGUCCAUGCCGUAAACGAUGUCUACUAGCCGUUGGGGUCUUUGAGACUUUAGUGGCGCAGCUAACGCGAUAAGUAGACCGCCUGGGGAGUACGGUCGCAAGACUAAAACUCAAAUGAAUUGACGGGGGCCCGCACAAGCGGUGGAGCAUGUGGUUUAAUU
rnacentral:rRNA from 1 species